rnacentral:rRNA from 1 species
UACAGAGGGUGCAAGCGUUAACCGGAAUUACUGGGCGUAAAGCGUGCGUAGACGGUUACAUAAGUCGGGUGUGAAAGCCCCGGGCUCAACCUGGGAAUUGCAUUCGAGACUGCGUAGCUAGGGUGCGGAAGAGGGAAGCGGAAUUUCCGGUGUAGCGGUGAAAUGCGUAGAUAUCGGAAGGAACACCAGUGGCGAAAGCGGCUUCCUGGUCCAGCACCGACGUUCAGGCACGAAAGCGUGGGGAGCAAACAGG